UACGAAGGGGGCUAGCGUUGUUCGGAUUUACUGGGCGUAAAGCGCACGUAGGCGGAUUGUUAAGUCGGGGGUGAAAUCCUGGAGCUCAACUCCAGAAUUGCCUUCGAUACUGGCUUUCUAGAGGCUGGAAGAGGUUAGUGGAAUUCCCAGUGUAGAGGUGAAAUUCGUAGAUAUUGGGAAGAACACCAGUGGCGAAGGCGGCUAACUGGUCCAGAUCUGACGCUGAGGCGCGAAAGCGUGGGGAGCAAACAGG
rnacentral:rRNA from 1 species